rnacentral:rRNA from 1 species
UUACACGUGCAGUCGAGGGGUAGANNUNUGUGUCGGAAGUUGCGACCGGCGCACGGGUGCGGUAACGCGUGUGCAUUCUGCCUGCCACAGACGGAUAUCCCAUAGAGAUUUGGAUUAAUACCUCAUAGCAUCAUGUUCCGGCAUCGGAAUAUNAUUAAAGUCACGACGGUGGAAGAUGAGCAUGCGUCCCAUUAGCUAUUUGGUAAGGUAACGGCUUACCAAGGCGACGAUGGGUAGGGGUCCUGAGAGGGAGAUCCCCCACACUGGUACUGAGACACGGACCAGACUCCUACGGGAGGCAGCAGUGAGGAAUAUUGGUCAAUGGGCGCAAGCCUGAACCAGCCAUGCCGCGUGCAGGAUGACGGUCCUAUGGAUUGUAAACUGCUUUUGUACGGGAAGAAACACUCCCUCGUGAGGGAGCUUGACGGUACCGUAAGAAUAAGGAUCGGCUAACUCCGUGCCAGCAGCCGCGGUAAUACGGAGGAUCCAAGCGUUAUCCGGAAUCAUUGGGUUUAAAGGGUCCGUAGGCGGUCUUGUAAGUCAGUGGUGAAAGCCCAUCGCUCAACGGUGGAACGGCCAUUGAUACUGCAGGACUUGAAUUACUGGGAAGUAACUAGAAUAUGUAGUGUAGCGGUGAAAUGCUUAGAGAUUACAUGGAAUACCAAUUGCGAAGGCAGGUUACUACCAGUGGAUUGACGCUGAUGGACGAAAGCGUGGGUAGCGAACAGGAUUAGAUACCCUGGUAGUCCACGCCGUAAACGAUGGAUACUAGCUGUUGGGGGCAACUUCAGUGGCUAAGCGAAGUGAUAAGUAUCCCACCUGGGGAGUACNAACGCAAGUUUGAAACUCAAAGGAAUNACGGGGGCCNGCACAGNCGGUGGANCAUGUGNUUAAUUCGAUGAUACCNCGA